rnacentral:rRNA from 1 species
AUGAUUGAAGUUUUCCUAUUUGGAAUCGUCUUAGGCCUAAUUCCUAUUACUUUAGCAGGAUUAUUUGUGACUGUGUAUUUGCAACGUAGGCAUGGGAUCAGUUGGAUCUUUGAUUGA